rnacentral:rRNA from 1 species
UACGUAGGGGGCAAGCGUUGUCCAGAUUUAUUGGGCGUAAAGAGCGUGUAGGCGGCCAGGUAGGUCGGCUGUGAAAACUCGAGGCUCAACCUCGAGAUGUCGGCGGAAACCAUCUGGCUAGAGUCCGGAAGAGGAGAGUGGAAUUCCUGGUGUAGCGGUGAAAUGCGCAGAUAUCAGGAAGAACACCCGUGGCGAAGGCGGCUCUCUGGGACGGUACUGACGCUGAGACGCGAAAGCGUGGGGAGCGAACAGG